CCUUUAGGCCUGAGCUCCUCUUCUCCAGCAGGAGGCGCUCCUUCCCCUUUAAGGGAAAGGCCUGGGCUGGUUCCCCUGGGGAGAAAGAACUAGUCCUCACAUUACAAUUCCAGACCUGCAAUACAAACUCACCAAAGCCUACCCCAGCAUAAGUGACCGCCCGCAAACGCUGGGAACCCUGGCACACUGCACAGCCUGCCCGCAGCUCAACAGGUAUUGUACCUAUGCAACUUGCUGGCUUCUUGAGCCUCCUUAAUCCCCAGGGAAAGACUUAUCAUGAUGGUGAGAUACAUCUACUCCUGGCAACAACAAAGAUGGCACCAUCUACUUCAAAGAAGAUAAGUCAUGGAAGAACCUCCAUAUGGAGUUUGUGUUAAAUGUGGCAGACCUAGCCACCGGGCAAGAAACUGCCUUUGCCUCAGCUGCCAACAGUAUCCUGUCCAAAUUGGACAAGCAGGAUACAAAAGAAGUCAACUGCCCAACUUUACCAAGACAAGGCAUCUGAUGGGAUUGAAGAUCAAUAUAGUCUUACAGUUUUCUUUGCUACCAAAUUCAGAAAAGAAACUCACAAAACAGAUGUAAAGUUUGUAAAGGUUGAGAGAUAAAAGCAUAAGUUGUUUAUCUAGGAAAAUGUUUUAAGAUCUAAAAAGGUAUUUUUAGGUUUAUAAUACAAUUUAUGAAAGAAAGUUAUUAAGGUAAAAGCUUUGGACUCACCAACAUAGAUAUACAGUAUUUUCUCUGAAAUUGCCAAAUACAAAUGGACUGGACAUUUUGAAUAGAAUUCUUACCUGAUAAUUGUUCUCAUUGUAUAUAGUUUAUUGAUGUUAGAGAAAGAGCCUUUAAUUGGACUAAAAGGGGGGAUAAUCUAUGUGAAGAUGUGAUAUAGAGAUGAAUACUUUGCAUUGGUAUAGAUCUUGGUUUACGGAUACCAAUUUAAGAUCAAUUUUUUAUAUGUAUAUAUCUACCCUUGAUUA